AGCGGCGGACGGGUUAGUAACGCGUGGGAACGUUCCAAAUAAAAACUGAUAGCCUCUGGAAAGUGAGAGUAAUACCUUAUUAGCCCUUGGGGGGAGAGAUUUAUCGGGAAAGGAUCGGCCCUCGUUAGAUGAGAUAGUUGGGGGGGUAGUGGGCUACCAGGGUACGAUCUAUAGCUGGUUUUAGAGGAGGAGGUCUACUCUGGGACUGAGACACGGCCCAGACUCCUACGGGAGGCAGCAGUGGGGAAUCUUAGACAAUGGGCGCAAGCCUGAUCUAUCCAUGCCGCGUGUGUGAUGAAUGCCUUUCGGUCUUAAACCACUUUCGCCCGGGAUGAUAUUGAUUGUAAUUGGUAAAGAAACCCCUGCUAACUUCGUGCCAACUCCGCGGUCAUAGGUAGGGGGUUAGCUUUGUUCAGAAUUACUGGGCGUAAACCG
rnacentral:rRNA from 1 species